rnacentral:rRNA from 1 species
UACGGGGGGGGCAAGCGUUGUUCGGAAUUACUGGGCGUAAAGGGCUCGUAGGUGGCCAACUAAGUCAGACGUGAAAUCCCUCAGCUUAACUGGGGAACUGCGUCUGAUACUGGAUGGCUUGAGUUUGGGAGAGGGAUGCGGAAUUCCAGGUGUAGCGGUGAAAUGUGUAGAGAUCGGGAGGAACACCGGUGGCGAAGGCGGGUCUCUGGGCAUCUCCUGACGCUGAGGCGCGAAAGCGUGGGGAGCAAACGGG